rnacentral:rRNA from 1 species
UACGGGGGGGCAAGCGUUGUUCGGAAUUACUGGCGUAAGGGUUUGUAGGUGGCCGGCUAAGUCAGACGUGAAAUCCCUCAGCUUAACUGGGGAACUGCGUCUGAAACUGAUCGGCUCGAGUGCAGGAGAGGAACGCGGAAUUCCAGGUGUAGCGGUGAAAUGACGUAGAUAUCUGGAGGACACCGGUGGCGAAGGCGGCGUUCUGGACUGCAACUGACACUGUAAAACGAAAGCCAGGGGAGCAAACGGG